rnacentral:rRNA from 1 species
CUACGGGAGGCUGCAGUGAGGAAUAUUGCACAAUGGGGGGAACCCUGAUGCAGCAACGCCGCGUGGAGGAUGACGCAUUUCGGUGUGUAAACUCCUUUUAUAUGUCAAGAAAAUGACGGUAGCAUAUGAAUAAGCACCGGCUAACUCCGUGCCAGCAGCCGCGGUAAUACGGAGGGUGCAAGCGUUACUCGGAAUCACUGGGCGUAAAGGGCGCGUAGGCGGGUUGGAAAGUCAGGUGUGAAAUCCUACAGCUUAACUGUAGAACUGCACUUGAAACUUCUAAUCUAGAGUAUGGGAGGGGGAGAUGGAAUUAGUGGUGUAGGGGUAACAUCCGUAGAUAUCACUAGGAAUACCUAAAGCGAAGGCGAUCUCCUGGAACAUUACUGACGCUAAGGCGUGAAAGCGUGGGGAGCAAACAGGAUUAGAUACCCGGGUAGUC